rnacentral:rRNA from 1 species
AGCAGCCGCGGUAAUUCCAGCUCCAAUAGCGUAUAUUAAAGUUGCUGCAGUUAAAAAGCUCGUAGUUGAAUUUCGGGACCAAUAUGUCGGUCGUGCCUCGGUACGUACUGGCAUCGUUGGUUUCCCCCUUCUGACGAACCAUGAUGUCAUUUAUUUGGUGUCGUGGGGAAUCAGGACUGUUACUUUGAAAAAUUAGAGUGUUUAAAGCAGGCUCACGCUUGAAUACAUUAGCAUGGAAUAAUGAAAUAGGACGUUUGAUUCUAUUUUGUUGGUUUCUAGGAUCGACGUAAUGAUUAAUAGGGAUAGUUGGGGGCAUUAGUAUUCAAUUGUCAGAGGUGAAAUUCUUGGAUUUAUUGAAGACUAACUACUGCGAAAGCAUUUGCCAAGGAUGUUUUCAUUAAUCAAGAACGAAAGUUAGGGGAUCGAAGACGAUCAGAUACCGUCGUAGUCUUAACCAUAAACUAUGCCGACUAGGGAUCGGAUGAUGUUAAUUUUUAAUGACUCA